UGUCUCCCUUUUUUUGCGUGUGUGUGAAGUCAAGUUUCUGGAAUCAUUUGUUGGCUGCCCAGGGAUACCCCAGACCUGCUGUUGAACAUCUUGAAGCUUUUUUUUUCUGUUAAAAGAGAACGUCGACAGAUCGCCUGACAGAACGGGAGGCCUUGUGUCUGAUUCCUCAGGGAUUUGGGGAGAAACAGAGGACCACAUGGCUGUGACAGACUGAACGAUCCCAUUCUUGGCUCUGAAUUUAUCUGGCUAACAGUUGGAUUCUGCAGAACCUGUGCUUUUGGCCCAGCAAUGGGCUGAUAAAUCUGCUGGAGUCUGCCAACCUGUUUGUAUUCAACCACUUCAAGAUUUCCAGUCCUAUUUCCAUGCAAACCAUUGAACAAAUGGAGCCAUGAGACUGACUGAGUGGCUCUUCCCACAGGAUGGCACAGACAGUUUGGAAAUCCAUGUGUGUCUCCCCGUUCAGGUUGGAAUCCCGUUAACUGUACUUCUCAUCAUUCCUGGUUUGAACCAUGUACCAGAGAAUUAAUUCCUCUUGACAUGAGCACAGAAGGUUUUAAACCAAAACUGUGCAGAAGCACUGACCAAAUAUGAUCGGCUAUCCAUGAAGGUAGAUUGAGGUCAAGUACUGACUCACUGUGUUAUCUUCUGGGCAUGUAGUUAGGUUUUACACAAUUUUUUUAAAAAGUUUCACAAAAUUAUUCGAGGUGAAGUUCACUAACACACAGUCCAUCAACAGUAUCAAAAGUUUUUAAUAUUUCACUUGGUAUCAAUCUCCAUAACAGAGGAAGAGGAGAUUCUACCAGGCAGAUGAGGAAAUUGAGGCUCAGUUUUGAUCUGGUGAAACUUCAGUCAGGAAAGAAGAGACUAUGAAUUGGAUCCAAAUGCCAGGAUGUACAAAGGUCCCACGAAACUAUUUGAAGAAAGAACAGAGGGUUUCGACCCACUGUCCUAGUCAACAUCUCAAACACAGACUUUCUGCUCAUUCUGUCCUUGCUAUUUGUGGGAGUUUGCUGACUGGAUAUUGGCUGCUGUAUUUCCCACAUUACAACAACAUCACACUUCAAAAAGGUCCUAACUGGUUCAAAAGUGCUUUGAGAAGUCCGCUGGUUGUGAAAGCUGCUAAAUAAAUGCACAAUAUACAAA